rnacentral:misc_RNA from 1 species
UGUUUUUUUAAAAAAGAGGGUUAUGAGUAGAAUUAUUUUAAUUGUUAGUUUUUUAUUUGAGUAUUUAUUUUUUUAUUAGAAUUUUGUUUGUUAUGAAAUAUAUUUUUAUGUUUUAUAGUAGGUAAAAUUUUGAUAGAAAAAUAGAUGUUUAAGUAGAAAGUUAAUAAUUAGAAUAAUUUUGUUUAUGAUUUUUUUUUUUAAGAAAAUA